ensembl:lncRNA
AGGAAACUGUUGCCAUAACACAUACAGUACUUCAUCAAAUACACACACAGGACUGAACCAAACCAAACUAAUGGAACUUUUCUGUCCAGCUACAGCAGAGCAUAUACCCAUUAGACAGUGCUUCACAGUGCAGGAGCAAAGGUUUUAUAGACCUAUGCCCCAGAUUCUUUGAAUAUAAACGUUUCCCCCAAGAUUUUCUUCUGGAAGAGAAAGGCUGGGAUGUAAAGACAGCAGAACAAAGCGAUCAGCACUCUGAAGAACAAGAUGAUUUACUGCUUUCUGUCAGUCUCAGCGCUGAUUCUUCCUGCAGAACGAUCAACCUGUCAACCUCUUCCACAUCUCCACCGGCAACCCUGCCUGAAGAACAGUCAUCCUUUAUGAGCCUUCCUUAGGCGUCUCCCAUCCCAACAUCAC